GUUUGAUGUUGAUGAUACACUUUAUCCACUUAGCUCUGGUAUUUCUGCACAAUGCACGAAAAAUAUCAUUGAUUAUAUGAUUGAAAAGCUUGGCAUUGAUGAGACUAAAGUUCCAGAAAUGUGUAUAAGCUUAUAUAAGGAGUACGGAACAACCAUGGCUGGUCUCAGGGCCAUUGGUUACGACUUUGAUUAUGAUGACUAUCAUAGUUUUGUACAUGGGAGAUUACCUUAUGAACUUUUAAAGCAUGACCAUGUUCUGAGGAAUCUUUU
rnacentral:misc_RNA from 1 species